rnacentral:rRNA from 1 species
GAGCGGAAAGGCCCUUCGGGGUACUCGAGCGGCGAACGGGUGAGUAACACGUGAGCAACCUGCCCCUGGCUAUGGGAUAGCCUCCGGAAACGGGGAUUAAUACCGGAUAUGACUGCCUCCUGCAUGGGGGGUGGUGGAAAGUUUUUCGGCUGGGGCGGGGCUCGCGGCCUAUCAGCUUGUUGGGGGGGUGACGGCCCACCAAGGCGACGACGGGUAGCCGGCCUGAGAGGGCGACCGGCCACACUGGGACUGAGACACGGCCCAGACUCCUGCGGGAGGCAGCAGUGGGGAAUAUUGCGCAAUGGGCGGAAGCCUGACGCAGCGACGCCGCGUGGGGGAUGAAGGCCUUACGGGUUGUAAACCUCUUUCACCAGGGACGAAGCGGAAGUGACGGUACCUGGGGAAGAAGCGCCGGCUAACUACGUGCCAGCAGCCGCGGUAAU